GUAUUAAAGGUGUUGCCUGCCCAGUGAAUCAUUUUCAACGGCCGCGGUAUCCUAACCGUGCAAAGGUAGCGUAAUCACUUGUCUUUUAAAUAAAGACUCGUAUGAAAGGCUAAAUGAGGACGAAACUGUCUCUUAUAGUUGACCAGUUAAACUGAUCUUCAAGUACAAAAGCUUGAAUAAACACAUAAGACGAGAAGACCCUGUGGAGCUUAAAACUAACCCUAUCACAACAAUAAUAGCAUAAGUUUUAAGUUGGGGCGACUUCGGAACAAAACAAAACUUCCGAGCACAGAGUCAACUACUCUAACCUAGACCCACAAGUCAAAAACACAACGACCCAGUCCUACUGAUCAACGAACCAAGUUACCCCAGGGAUAACAGCGCUAUCUUCUUCAAGAGUCCAUAUCGACAAGAAGGUUUACGACCUCGAUGUUGGAUCAGGACACCCAAAUGGUGCAGCAG
rnacentral:rRNA from 1 species